GCGUCCAUUAUGUAUUAUUAGUACUUGUAUUACAGGAACUUGUACUUUAAGUCAUAUGUAAAAAUAAAUGUUUAGGCUCAUGCAUGGGUAUAUCUGAAUGUUUGAAGUAAAGAGAGCUAUCAACACGUAUACAUUGUACGCUGCUUGUAUUAUAAAAAUAUUAAAACAAGAUGUACCUACAAUCUGAUGUUCUACUCUUUCCUCUUCAAUAAAAGAAAUGAUUAAUAAGGUACCAACGUAUUUUUUUGGUAAAACAAGGCACCAACUUUACCUUCUUUUUUUUGUUCAAUUUUCUAAUGAAAACUAAAGCUUGGUUUCUUUUUGUUCAGUUCUUUAAUUACAAGAAUCUAAAGCUUGAUUUAUAGCAUUAAUUUUCAAACGCAUAUAUUAACCAACACAUGAAAUGUUAUAUCUUACUUAUAAUUUCAUAAUAUAUUUUUCUUUAUCAGCUCA
rnacentral:lncRNA from 1 species